rnacentral:rRNA from 1 species
GCAGUCGAGCGGACCGACGGGAGCUUGCUCCCUUAGGUCAGCGGCGGACGGGUGAGUAACACGUGGGUAACCUGCCUGUAAGACUGGGAUAACUCCGGGAAACCGGGGCUAAUACCGGAUGCUUGAUUGAACCGCAUGGUUCAAUCAUNAAAGGCGGCUUCGGCUGCCGUUUACAGAUGGACCCGCGGCGCAUUAGCUAGUUGGUGAGGUAACGGCUCACCAAGGCNACGAUGCGUAGCCGACCUGAGAGGGUGAUCGGCCACACUGGGACUGAGACACGGCCCAGACUCCUACGGGAGGCAGCAGUAGGGAAUCUUCCGCAAUGGACGAAAGUCUGACGGAGCAACGCCGCGUGAGUGAUGAAGGUUUUCGGAUCGUAAAGCUCUGUUGUUAGGGAAGAACAAGUACCGUUCGAAUAGGGCGGUACCUUGACGGUACCUAACCAGAAAGCCACGGCUAACUACGUGCCAGCAGCCGCGGUAAUACGUAGGUGGCAAGCGUUGUCCGGAAUUAUUGGGCGUAAAGCGCGCGCAGGCGGUUUCUUAAGUCUGAUGUGAAAGCCCCCGGCUCAACCGGGGAGGGUCAUUGGAAACUGGGGAACUUGAGUGCAGAAGAGGAGAGUGGAAUUCCACGUGUAGCGGUGAAAUGCGUAGAGAUGUGGAGGAACACCAGUGGCGAAGGCGACUCUCUGGUCUGUAACUGACGCUGAGCGCGAAAGCGUGGGGAGCGAACAGGAUUAGAUACCCUGGUAGUCCACGCCGUAACGAUGAGUGCUAAGUGUUAGAGGGUUUCCGCCCUUUAGUGCUGCAGCAAACGCAUU